UAUACGGCCCUUUUCAGGGCCCCCUAUAGUUUGCAAACGGUACUGU
rfam:Ixodes scapularis strain Wikel colony gcontig_1108379702350, whole genome shotgun sequence.